rnacentral:rRNA from 1 species
UACGAAGGGGGCUAGCGUUGUUCGGAAUUACUGGGCGUAAAGCGCACGCAGGCGGCUCGAUAAAUUAGAAGUGAAAGCCCCGGGCUUAACCUGGGAAUUGCUUUUAAGACUGUCGGGCUAGAAUCCAGAAGAGGGUAGUGGAAUUCCGAGUGUAGAGGUGAAAUUCGUAGAUAUUCGGAAGAACACCAGUGGCGAAGGCGACUACCUGGCCUGGCAUUGACGCUCAUGUGCGGAAGCGUGGGGAGCAAACAGG